CCUACGGGAGGCAGCAGUGGGGAAUCUUGCGCAAUGGGCGAAAGCCUGACGCAGCCAUGCCGCGUGAAUGAUGAAGGUCUUAGGAUUGUAAAAUUCUUUCACCGGGGACGAUAAUGACGGUACCCGGAGAAGAAGCCCCGGCUAACUUCGUGCCAGCAGCCGCGGUAAUACGAAGGGGGCUAGCGUUGCUCGGAAUUACUGGGCGUAAAGGGAGCGUAGGCGGAUAGUUUAGUCAGAGGUGAAAGCCCAGGGCUCAACCUUGGAAUUGCCCUUGAUACUGGCUAUCUUGAGUACGGAAGAGGUAUGUGGAACUCCGAGUGUAGAGGUGAAAUUCGUAGAUAUUCGGAAGAACACCAGUGGCGAAGGCGACAUACUGGUCCGUUACUGACGCUGAGGCUCGAAAGCGUGGGGAGCAAACAGGAUUAGAUACCCUGGUAGUCCACGCUGUAAACGAUGAGUGCUAGUUGUCGGCAUGCAUGNAUGUCGGUGACGCAGCUACGACAUAAGACACUCCGCCGUCGGGGAGGUACGGUCGGCGAAGAAUUAAAACUUAAAAUUAAGUAAGUUAGUACGGACGUGAGACGUGCCGACGGACGACGACGAGGGAGGAGG
rnacentral:rRNA from 1 species